CUCCUACGGGAGGCAGCAGUAGGGAAUCUUGCACAAUGGAGGAAACUCUGAUGCAGCGAUGCCGCGUGAGUGAAGAAGGCCUUAGGGUUGUAAAGCUCUUUCAACGGUGAAGAUGAUGACGGUAGCCGUAGAAGAAGCCCCGGCUAACUCCGUGCCAGCAGCCGCGGUAAU
rnacentral:rRNA from 1 species